AGAUUGAACGCUGGCGGCAUGCUUUACACAUGCAAGUCGAGCGGCAGCGCGGGGGCAACCCUGGCGGCGAGCGGCGAACGGGUGAAGAACACAUCGGAACGUGCCCCGGAGUGGGGGAUAACGCCGCGAAAGCGGCGCUAAUACCGCAUAUGCUCUGAGGAGGAAAGCGGGGGACCUGUGAGGGCCUCGCGCUCUGGGAGCGGCCGAUGUCCGAUUAGCUAGUUGGUGGGUAAUGGCUCACCAAGGCGACGAUCGGUAGCUGGUCUGAGAGGAUGAUCAGCCACACUGGGACUGAGACACGGCCCAGACUCCUACGGGAGCAGCAGUGGGGAAUUUUGGACAAGUGGGGGCAACCGUG
rnacentral:rRNA from 1 species